CAAUACACGCUGACGAGUGGCGCACGGGUGCGUAACGCGUAUGCAACUUACCCUUAACUGGAGAAUAGCUCGAAGAAAUUCGAAUUAAUACCCCAUAACAUUGCGAUUCCGCAUGGAAUUGCAAUUAAAGCUCCGGCGGUUAAGGAUGGGCAUGCGUGACAUUAGCUAGUUGGUGAGGUAAUGGCUCACCAAGGCUUCGAUGUCGUAGGGAUCUGAGAGGAUUACUCCCCACACUGGUACUGAGACACGGACCAGACUCC
rnacentral:rRNA from 1 species